rnacentral:rRNA from 1 species
UACGUAGGUGGCAAGCGUUGUCCGGAUUUAUUGGGUUUAAAGGGUGCGUAGGCGGUCUAUUAAGUCAGAGGUGAAAUACUCCAGCUUAACUGGAGGGGUGCCAUUGAUACUGAUGGACCUGAGUGAAGUCGAGGUAGGCGGAAUUGACGGUGUAGCGGUGAAAUGCUUAGAUAUCGUCAAGAACACCAAUAGUGAAGACAGCUUACUAGGCUUAUACUGACGCUGAGGCACGAAAGUGUGGGGAUCAAACAGG